UACCCUGCGAUGUACGUUACAUUUCUCUCUGUGUUGAGCCAACACUCUUACAUAGGGAGCUUAAGAUUCUCGCCUUUCAAAAACCGGCCUCCUCAGAGUGGACUUUUGCGAUCGGCGGUAAAGCACCCACCUGCAUAUGCAGGUUCAAACCCUGAGGAUGGACGGCAUUGUGGGGCA
rnacentral:other from 1 species